rnacentral:rRNA from 1 species
AGUGAACGCUGGCGGUAGGCCUAACACAUGCAAGUCGAACGGCAGCACAGUAAGAGCUUGCUCUUACGGGUGGCGAGUGGCGGACGGGUGAGGAAUACAUCGGAAUCUACUUUUUCGUGGGGGAUAACGUAGGGAAACUUACGCUAAUACCGCAUACGACCUACGGGUUAAAGCAGUGGAUCUUCGGACCUUGCGCGAUUGAAUGAGCCGAUGUCGGAUUAGCUAGUUGGCGGGGUAAAGGCCCACCAAGGCGACGAUCCGUAGCUGGUCUGAGAGGAUGAUCGGCCACACUGGAACUGAGACACGGUCCAGACUCCUACGGGAGGCAGCAGUGGGGAAUAUUGGACAAUGGGCGCAAGCCUGAUCCAGCCAUACCGCGUGAGUGAAGAAGGCCUUCGGGUUGUAAAGCCCUUUUGUUGGGAAAGAAAAGCAGCAGGUUAAUACCCCGCUGUUCUGACGGUACCCAAAGAGUAAGCACCGGCUAACUUCGUG